rnacentral:misc_RNA from 1 species
GAACAAUCAAAUCAUAGAUCAUGUGCUUCUUUCUAUUUAUAUUCAGAGAUACAGUUGAUUUCUCGGAAGCUUAUUUUAAGGGCAUAGAUAUGCUAAGUUAUCUAAAUUCAAUGACAAUUUUAAAGAUACUGACCACUUGAAAGACACAAAGCUUUCAGCUCAUCAUCUUUGGCAGUGGCAAUAUUUUCAUUUGCAAGCAUAAAUUAUUUAGAGCAGCCAACCUCUUUUUGUCUUUUUACUCUUUUUCACUGGAAAUCUAGAAAGAGUAUUUGGUAGCAAGAGUCACAAGGUCCCCACAAUUUAUGGAAUGAAAAACUGUAAGCUCUAAUUCUUACCAUAAAGAAA